rnacentral:rRNA from 1 species
ACUCCUACGGGAGGCAGCAGUAGGGAAUAUUGGUCAAUGGGCGAAAGCCUGAACCAGCCAUGCCGCGUGUCAGAUGAAGGUCCUCUGGAUUGUAAAUGACUUUUCUACGGGAAGAAUGAGCCGUCUGCGGACGGAAGUUGACGGUACCGUAGGAAUAAGCACCGGCUAACUACGUGCCAGCAGCCGCGGUAAUACGUAGGGGUGCAAGCGUUGUCCGGAUUUACUGGGUUUAAAGGGUACGUAGGCGGUUGUGCCAAGUCUGGGGUGAAAGUUUGCAGCUCAACUGUAAAAAUUGCCUUGGAUACUGGUCGGCUAGAGUAGUGGAGCGGUGGCUGGAAUUUAUAGUGUAGCGGUGAAAUGCUUAGAUACUAUGAGGAACACCAAUUGCGAAGGCAGGUCACUGGUCACUAACUGACGCUGAGGUACGAAAGUGUGGGGAUCAAACAGGAUUAGAUACCCUGGUAGGAUAGCG